UACGUAGGGAGCAAGCGUUGUCCGGAAUCAUUGGGCGUAAAGCGCGCGUAGGCGGCUCUGUAAGUCCGUUGUGAAAGUCAAAGGCUCAACCUUUGAAAGCCGAUGGAUACUGCAGGGCUAGAGUCCGGAAGAGGCGAGUGGAAUUCCUGGUGUAGCGGUGGAAUGCGCAGAUAUCAGGAGGAACACCAAUAGCGAAGGCAGCGCGCUGGGACGGUACUGACGCUAAGGCGCGAAAGCGUGGGGAGCGAACAGG
rnacentral:rRNA from 1 species